rnacentral:rRNA from 1 species
AUUGAACGCUGGCGGCAGGCUUAACACAUGCAAGUCGAACGAGUGGCGGACAGGUGAGUAAUGUCUGGGAAACUGCCCGUUGGUGGGGGUUAACUGCUGGAAAUGGUAGCUAAUAACGCAUACCAUCGGAUGUGCACAGAUGGGUUUAGCUAGUUGGUGGGGUCACGUCUCACCUAGGCGACGAUCCAUAGCUGGUCUGAGAGGAUGACCAGCCACACUGGAACUGAGACACGGUCCAGUCUCAUACGGGAGGCAGGUGUGGAGUAUAGUGCACAAGGGGCGGAGGCCUGAUGCGGCCAUGCCGCGUGUAUGAAUAGGGCCUUCGGGUUGUAAAGUACUUUCAGCGAGGAGGCGUUACUAGCAGAAGAAGCACCGGCUAACUCCGUGCCAGCCGCCGUGGUAAUUC